CACGUAAGGGGCAAGCGUUGUUCGGAAUUAUUGGGCGUAAAGGGUACGUAGGCGGUCCUGUAAGCCCGGCGUGAAAUACUGGAGCUUAACUCCAGAACUGCGCUGGGAACUGUGGGACUUGAGUCAUGGAAGGGGAGUUGGAAUUCCAGGUGUAGGGGUGAAAUCUGUAGAUAUCUGGAAGAACACCGGUGGCGAAGGCGAACUCCUGGCCAAUGACUGACGCUGAGGUACGAAAGUGCGGGGAG
rnacentral:rRNA from 1 species